UACGGAGGGGGCUAGCGUUGCUCGGAAUGACUGGGCGUAAAGGGCGCGUAGGCGGAUGACACAGUCAGAUGUGAAAUUCCCGGGCUUAACCUGGGGGCUGCAUUUGAUACGUGUUGUCUAGAGUGAGGAAGAGGGUUGUGGAAUUCCCAGUGUAGAGGUGAAAUUCGUAGAUAUUGGGAAGAACACCGGUGGCGAAGGCGGCAACCUGGUCCUUGACUGACGCUGAGGCGCGAAAGCGUGGGGAGCAAACAGG
rnacentral:rRNA from 1 species